UGAACAAUGUUAAUCUGUUUCACAGUUUUUUUUCUUGUUGAAAAGGUAAUAGAAGAAUCUUUAACAGCAACUCCACAACACUGAGAGUCAGCCAGAGAUGUGGGAUGUCCCUAACGCUGUGCUGUGGAUCAACAUCUGUGUCUGCCUUCCUCUGACCAUAAUUUUCAUUGUUUGUGUGUGUUAUGUGGGGCGAAGGGAUCCUCUCACUGUCACGUAUUACAUAAAUCUGCUCAUCUCCAAUCUGGUCCAACUCUGCAUACUGUUUGUUUGGGUGGCACGACUGGAUGGCACCACCUGUGCUGCAUUAGCCCUCUUUAGUGUGACGGCGAAUAUUGACUUCAGCAUUUGCAUUGCUUUGGAAAGGUAUUUUUUCAUCACCUGUCCUUUCCUCGACUUCAUCAGACAAACUAAGGGUUCUGUGUUGGUUUGCCUUCUAGUGUGGAGUGUUUGUAUUAUAACGGCCAGUCUUGCCAUAGCCUUACAAGUGCUUUUACGUUUUGUAAUUCAUGCCCUUCUCCCUGCACCCCUGUUCAUCUUCUUUAUAGCUGGGACCACCAAAGCCCUGCCUGCUGCAACCUCAGUGUGCACUGAGGAAAAACAAAGAGUUGUAGCAACUCUGAUUGUGUUGCUGUUUAAGUACUCACUGUUAAACUUACCUGCAGUCACUCUAUUAGCUGUCAGUGUUCCCCCAAACUGCCAUGUCAGUGACACCGCAGACAUCAUUUUGUUUGUGCUCAUUCCUUUUGUGGACUUGUUUCUUUUUUUUCUUAUGAGGAAAGGGCCCAUUGACAGGCUGCUGGCAUAUAUGUGCUGCUGCAGUACGGACAACUCUGCAGCAGAUGUCAGUAACAAAUCAUCAGUGUGAAUGAGGGCAGCACAAAGAUGUACAUUCAUGUAUACGGACAAAGGAAAAGAGAAAAUUGGGAGCAAAAGUUGAAGAUGCUGAGAAAUUAGAAAGUUAAGAAAACCACAUUCUUUAAAAAAAUAUUGUGGUAAUGUAAAGAUCUGACAGUAGAUUCAGCUCCAGGUCUUUGGAGAGCAGCUCUCAGCUGAAGCCUCUGACUGUAGAACACCUAGAAUCCACUUUACAGUCAACCUGGAAGUAACAGGAAGCAUUGCUUUGUUGAAUAACUGCAUACUGCCAUAAUCUCUUCAGAAGGUUUCUUACAUUAAGAUCAGGAAAACAUAGAAAGCAUCUUGAUGUCUUUCCUCUUAGUUCACAUUUUCAUUUAUAUAUUUUUUUUUUAAUUUUUAUUGAUUAUAAUAUUGAUGCCUCAUAUCCAUCUUAUUUUUAAUGUGCAAAUAAUAAAUUCAGCUAGAUUCAGUGUUCAGUUAUUUUGUAUGUUUGUUUAUUUACUUCCUGUAUGUGUCCUUCAAGCAUUUAUGUUCUAGACCAAUUUGGUUCCCAAAUAAUGGACAGGUUUUUGACAGGGCUCCCACACAAAUGCAAAGCAGAGGUUGAAGCAUUGCCAAAAAAUGCUUCUAAACCAACUUCUUUCCAAGCCAAAGACCAGAACAUAUGAUGAAGAAUAUCUUGCCUUUGGCUUCACCUGCAUGACAGCUGUUGUUCCAAUGUAGGUAUCCCCGACAGAAUUCUUUUCCCCUGCGUCAGGAGCACACGCUGGGCUCUCCAAAUCACAGACAAACAGUAUCCCACUUUUUAUAACGACUAACUACUCCUGAAACUUUAGAGGCUUUAGCUCUUUAUACAGUAAAGUUACAG